rnacentral:sRNA from 1 species
CUUCAUUGAUGAAGUUGAGAGAUUUAAACACAUAAGCCUAAACACAUGAGUGUGGAGUGUAUAUCAAUGAGAGA